UGUUCCCUAUGGGGGGCAGCAGUGAGGAAUAUUGGUCAAUGGGCGGGAGCCUGAACCAGCCACGUCGCGUGAAGGAAGAAGGUACUUAGUAUUGUAAACUUCUUUUGUCGGGGAACAAAGGCGGAGACGCGUCUCCGGAUGAGUGUACCCGAAGAAAAAGCAUCGGCUAACUCCGUGCCAGCAGCCGCGGUAAUACGGAGGAUGCGAGCGCUAUCCGGAUUUAUUGGGUUUAAAGGGUGCGCAGGCGGGA
rnacentral:rRNA from 1 species